AUUACAAGAAAACUUUUUCAUAAUUUAUUUAUCGUAGGUUUUUAUAAACCAAGAAAAAUGUGGAUUAACAUCACUCGUUUAAUUGAAAUUACUGAUGGGCUAAUAAUAGAUGGUACCCUAAUGAAAAAAAUAAAUAGUAGUAAUAUCGAUAUUAUUUUUAUAAUAGUAUUUAUGGUCUUGGCUGUUGGUACAUAUAUUCUUUAUUGUGCCUUUAAAAACUUUUCACAAUGACAUAUACACGAUAUAUAUAAUCUUUAAUUAAUAAUGAAAUGCAUUUUUUACUGUUCCUAAUUAUAGGACAUCAUGUGUAGCAAGUACAAAAGAACACUACUAGUAGUAGUAGUACUUUGCCUUCAUAAAAAAAUGGCUAUUCAUUUAGCAACUAGAAUUUCAAAAAAAUACGUUUAACAAAAGAAACGAUUGAAAUGAGAAUCCAAUGUCAAACAGGCGUCUUAUCUAUAGAAUAAUAGAUGUGUAUCUACAAACAAAUUCUUACAUGAUAGCUAUAUAUUAUUACGUAUUUAUAAAAUUAUAAUUAUAUAAAAAAUAGAUUAUUCUUUUAUGGUGUAGAAAAAAGUUUAAAAAUUUGACACCUUGCACAUCAUGGUCCUACGAUUAAUAUCUGGCGUUUUCACCAAAACUGGAGGAACUACCUUAACAGUAAAAAUAAAUAA